rnacentral:lncRNA from 1 species
GCCUGGGGGUAUGGGCCACAGGCUUCGGGGAGGAAGCUGUCGCUAAGCUGGGAUGGGAGAGAUGCCGCUGGAGUUCUCGGGGACUGGGAGAGCCGCGGUGCUGGUCAAGGAGCGCGAAGGGCCGGGGAGCCUGCGGGAGGCCUGCUCCUGCUGCCCACCCCAUACUCCUGGGAGGGGCCACCUGGACCAGCCAGUUCUGGUCGUCAUCCGGACGAUGCCCAUCCCUCCAUGUCCAGCACCAGGAUCUGUCUGCUGUGCCUCCCUGAGGUGAGUAGCCUUCCUGCUCUCGAGUUGUCUCCAGUCUCGUCGACCUGAGACCUGCUCCCGCCCACUGCAGCC